UUUUAUCUUCCUCCCCCCACUUUUUUUUAGGGCCACACCUGCAGCAUCUGGAAGUUCCCAGGCUAGGGGUCAAAUUGGAGCUGCAGCUGCCAGCCUACGCCACAGCCACAGCAACGUGGGAUCUGAACGGCAUCUGUAACCUACACCACAGCUCACAGCAACGCCGGACCCUUAACCUACUGAGUGAGGCCAGGGACUGAACCCACAUCCUCAUGGAGACUAUGUCAGGUUCUUAAACCACUGAGCCACAUCGGGAAUUCCCACAUUUUUUCCCUAUGCUUAGGAUUAUUUCCAUAAAGUAGAUUUCUAGAAGUAAAAUUGCUGGGUUAAAUAUUUUAAGGCUUUCACUUUACGUGCCUGACAUUAUUUAUUCUCUACUUAAACCCUGUCUUUGACUAUUUGUGCGUCUGAACUUUAUUCAUGCCACAGGCUGCCUACCGUCCACUACGUUACUAUGCAGACAAGGGAUGUGACAGGAAACAGGAUGGACAGUCCCAGGACUACAUGAAGCUCAACUACCAGAAAAAAGGGAAACCCCACCUUAUCCAGCGAGCUCAAGUCAGCAAGACGACAGAUAUAGAAACAACCAACACAAUGCCUAAGACAAGCACUCAAUAAGGAAGGGUAUUCGAGGUACACAGGCUCUGGACAUUCACAAGCCCAGAAGACAUCACAAGGAUAAAAAAAAAAGGCAGUAUCUGCUGCUGGAAAAGCAGGCGGAGUCACCCUAACUGCAGUACUAAGUAGUGUGCAGAGUGAUAGGGAAACAGGAAAGGCACUUAGAGUGACAAGAGGAGAGCAGCUGGGGCGGAGCCUAGAAAGAGCACAGACCCUGGCUGAAAGAGCAGACCCUGGCUGUUAUAGAGGAAACUAGAGAUAAGCAGGGAUUCACAUGACUGUAGUCAAUGCAGGCUAGACAGGGAAAGUGGUGAAUUAGUUAACGAAAGUCAAAGAAGGCAAAGAAUUUAUCUUACAGGUAAAAGGGAACCAUCUAAAGAAUGUGACUGAAAUAGAUGGGAUACUGCGGCAGGGACGAUUCCUUCAUUUAUCCAUCCCAGUCCAGCCAACACCCAGAUAUGUGCCAGGACUGGGAACUCUGUGAAAACAACAGAUCCGGCCUUUGCCCUGAUGGAGUCCAGUCCUGAGGGAGAAAAAGGCAUUAAACAAGAAGGCAAAUGCGAGCUGUUCAGAAGAUGGCAAAGUAGGGCUUAAUAAGCUCACCUUCUCUCACGAAAAACACCAAAAUCACAACUACCGCUGAACAACCAUCAAUAAAAUAGACUAGAAAACUACCAAAAAAGAUAUCCUACACCCAAAGACAAAGAAGAGGCCACAUCGGCAGGCAGCAGGAGGGCCGCUUUCAUGAUAUAAGCAAUCCCACACCUGCCGGGUGGGCAACACGCAGACUGGAAAAUAACUACAUGGCAGGAGCUCUCCCACAGGAAUGAGAGUCCCGGAGGCCAGGUCGGGUUCUCAUGCCUGGGGGUCUGGCCCUGGGGGAAGGAGCCCCUGGAGCAUUUGGCAGUGAGGGCCAGCCUGGCCUGUGCACAGGAGCUCCACAGGACUGGGGGAAACGGGACUCCACUCUGAAGGGCACACUCAGGUCUCCCUGUGCACUGGGUCCCAGGGCAGAGCAGGGACUCCAUAGGAAUCUAGGUCAGACCUGCCUGCAGGGCUUGAAGGAUCUCCUGGGAAAAGGAGGGUGGCUGCCACGGCUAUGGCAGCAGAACAAGUGGCACAGCAUUGUGGGCAUCCGUGGAGGCUGCCAUUUCCAGGAAAACCUGACCCCACCCAUCAGGGCUGAGAAGCCCCAGGCCAAACAACAAACUAGGUGGGAACAUACCCCACCCAUCAGCAAACCGGCUGCCUAAAGAACCCCCAGGCAGACAGCUGCCUCCAGUCACCCAGAGACAAAGCCCAACCCACCAGAGGGACAAGACUCAGCUCCACCUACCAGGAAGCCUACAGGCAAGCCCCCUACCAAGUUCAGCCACAAGGAGGGGGACAGACAUCAGAAGCAAAAGAGGCUACAACCCUAUUGUCCGCAAAAAGGAGACCACCCAAAAAGCUGUACAAAGUGAAAAGGCAGAGGAAUAUAAGCCAGAUAAGGGAACUAAAGCAACCUCAGAAAAAGCUAAAUGAACUGGAUGAAAAAGACUUCAGAAUUAUGAUGUUAAAGAUGAUCCAAGAUCUUGGGAAAAAACUGAUAAAUUAAUCAGUUUAUCAAUCUGAACAAAGAAAUAGAAGAUUGGACAACGAAACAGAAGAUUUAAAGAUUAAACAAGCAGAGAUUCAAAAUAUAAUUAACAAAAUAAAAAAUUCACUAGAAGGAACCAAUAGCAGAUGACCGGAGGCAGAAGAACAAAUAAGCAAGGUGGAAGACUGACUGGUGGAAAUCACUGACGUGAAACAGAAUAAAGAAAAAAGAAUGAAAAGAAUUAGGGAGCAUCUAAGAGAACUCUGAGACAACCUUAAAUGCACCAACAUUUGCAUUACAGGGGUGCCAGUAGAAGACAAAGGGCCAGAGAAAAUAUUUAGAGAUAACAGCGGGAAAACCUCCCUACCUCUCUAACAUGAGAAAGGAAUCACUUAUUCAAACCCAGGAAACCCAACGAAUACCAUAUCAAAUAAACCCAAGGAGGAACAUCCCCAAGAUGUGUUAUUAGGAAGAAAUCAAAAAAAAAAAAAAAAAAAAGGAAGAAAUCCAACGCCAAUGCCAUGCAAGUUGUGAUGAAUCCAACGAAGAAUGGGGAAAAAGAAGGACCUAACUUGGACUGGGGGACUGAGGCAGGCCUCUCUAUAUGGGUGCAUUUAAAUGGGGCCGCAGAGGUGAGAGGAAGCCCGUCUUGCGAAGGGGGAGUAGAGCACUACAAGAAGACUCAGGCUUUCUCUGAGACCCGCAUGCUACCUGUUCCAGUGAGAUACAUGAACUAGUGGUGGCCAGAGUUUACGGAGUGAUUCAUUUGAAUGUAAGUCAUUAUGCUCAGUAGUUUUAUAUGCAUUACUUCACUUAUUUUUCACAACCUGUAAGACUACUACCUCCCUUUGCAGAUGAGGAAAAAGAUUCAGAGGUUACUCAACUUGCCCAAAGACAGAAACUCAAUAAAUAAAAGUUCCAGGGGCUUGAACCCAGAGUCAAUUUAUAACAGUCAUUCAACAAAAAUAUCACCCAAGAAUCUAGUACUCCCUAUGGGAGGUCCCAUUGUGGCCCAGAGGUAAGGAAUCCAGCUGGUAGCCAUGAGGACGUGGGUUCGAUCCCUGGCUUCGCUCAGUGGGUUAAGGAUCCAGUGUUGCCAUGAGCUGUGGUGUAGGUCACAGAAGGGGCUCGGAUCCCGAGUUGCUGUGGCUGUGGUAUAGGCCAGCAGCUGCAGCUGCAGCUCUGAUUAUGUGCCGCAGGUGCAACCCUGAAAAGACAAAAGAAACAAAGAAUCUAGUAUGUCCUAGACAUUUUUAGUUUGGGGAAUUUAAAAAAAAAAAAAAAAGACAAAAAUGUCCUCUCUCGUGAAGCUUAUAUCCUAGUGGGCAAAAGGAAAAAUUUUCCAUAUAAACACAAACUCCAUGAUAUCUACUUUCAGGUAGGAAAAGAAAAAAGCAUUCUUUUUAAGUAAAAACAAUUCCAAAACAUAUGCUUGCACUUCUGUUUUCUUCUUUCAGAUGGUUUUCCCAUGCAUACUUGGGGAAAACGACAUCAGUUCUGAUCUCCAGAGGAAAUAGGAGCCUGACCUCCAGGAACAGACAGAGACCAAAGGCCAGCCUUAGGGACGUUGGGUGAUGAGGCCCCAGUUAAAACCUCUGGACAAAGACUCGGGUGGGAAGCUCCUGGGGAACAGCACUCUGUACGGUUGAGCACCCUGUCCAAGAGGAGACAAGGCUGUCCCUCUCGGACUCCACGGAGAGGACAGGCCACCCAGAGCUCUGCACCUGGAACCCUCCCAAACUCCUCUCUAUGCAAAGCUUCCUUUGUCUGCUUUUAAUCAUAAUUUAUACCCUUUCACUAUAACAAAACUGUAAUCCUAAGUACAGCACUUUCCUGACCUCCAUGAACUUUCCAAGUGAAUUUCUCAACCUGAAGGUGAUUUGGGGAGCCCUGAAUUUGUAGUCAGCUGGCCUGAAGUCAGGGUAGUCCUGGUCACCAUCUGACUUGUGGCUGGUUCCCCAAGUGAGAGCAGACUUGUGGGGACCACUCUAAGUCUAGAUCGAUAAAAGGGACCCCGGAGAAGCAGCUGAUUCCUAAGGUCCAGAGCAGAAAAAGCACCAAUUGCAUAACCCUGGACACCUGAACAUGCCACAGAAGCUGGGACCUGUCAAUGACCAAGGAGACGAGGCCAGAGGCUAAGAGGCCAAAGAAAUGUGACAGUCUGAGCAUCAAAGGAAUGAAUACAAAUACUAAAUGUUCAUGAUGUUACCAAAUAAAGAAAGGAAAGGGUGAGCGAGGGCAGCAACCUCCUACCAAAACUGGGAAAGGAAAGAAGCCCUGCCUCUUUCCUCCAUGAACUUCAGGAGAACCAGGGCUGGAGGAAGGAAAGUCUCUUGUGUAGAAAAACUCCAGCUGGUACUAAAGACGGAAUAUAAAGGACAAAUACUUUGCAAUGAAAUACCAGACCUAGACACCAACAGAUGGAGAAAUGGCGGGUGAGAUGUGCACACUGAUCACCUGUCCCUCUGACAGGGACACAAGGUCUCACCUGAGCCACACUACCCAGCCUUACAGCACUCGCGCCCCCUCCCCAAGGCCAGCCAACAUUUAAUUAAGCCUAUGCUCCCACCUACAGCUCCCAGCAAUAGGGAAUUUGGCGUUACAGAGAAAAAAAUAUACACAAUAUUGCUAGAAAACAACCGGCUAAAUUCAGAAAUGGGCAUUCUACAGGACAGUAACCUAGUUUCUUUAACAAAUGCUCUCAAAGAAAAAAGGGAGGAUUAAGAAUUCUAUUAAAGGAGAUAGAACAGCCAAAUGUCAUGUGUGGACCUGUUUGGAUCCUGAAUCAAAGAAACUACUGUUAAAAAAAAAUAUUUGAAAUAAAUGUGGAAAUCUAAAUAUGGAUUAGGUAUUAGAUUUUAUUACUUAAGAAUUACCAUUCCUCUUUUUGGAUGAUAACAGCAUUUUACUUAUAAUAGUUCUAAAAAAUAAUUAGCUCUAAAAAAGUCGUGUAAAAUGAUACUUGAGAUGUUCUAAAACAGUCCAAUAAAGACAAACGAAAGAAGGAAGGAAGCGAAGUGGAGUUUAGCCGGACAGGGGGAUAGAUAAGAUCAGCAAAACACUGCUAUGUUGUUUUGCUUUCUUUUGUUUUGGCUGCAAGGGCCACAUACCGAAGUUCCCUGGCCAGGGAUUGAAUCCCAGCAGCAGCGACCUAAACCACAGCUGUGGCAACACUGGGUCCUUACCCCCUGCAUUACAGCUGGAACUCCCGACACUGGUAAUUAUUAAAGUACACAGGAUGGAUCGAUUGGAUUCACUGUAAUGUUCUCUCUACUUUUUUUUAUGUCUCCAAGUUUCCAUAACAAAACAUUAUGAAAAUUAUUGCAAUUAUCUUAGUAAUUCUAUUGAGUAGUCAUAUAUUAUAGGUGGUAAUCUAUUAUAAAUAAUUAUGACCUUCCCAAAAAGCAACUGGUGUUCCUAGGGCAGGUAAGUAAAACUUCAAUAAACACACACAUCUCUCAUCUCUAAAGUAGAGGUAACAUCUAUUUCCAUUUUCCUUGCAGAGGUACUGGGGGGUGGGGGGGAGUGCAGGUCUGUUCUUCAAAAAUUUACAAGGACAGUAGAGAGAGAAGAGAGAGUGAGGGGAUGCACACAUAACUCCAGCAAGACUGGCCAUGAAGUACCUACUGGAACAAACGACGGUCACACACGCCUGUACGAGGGCUACCUAGAGCUGAGACAUCGUGGGCCCACCCCACCCCACCCCACUUGAGCUGCAUGAAAAUUUUCAUUUUCCUCAUGCCUAC
ensembl:lncRNA